CACAGGUCAUGCCUUGUAUUCAGCUGUAAAGCUAAUACUUCUUAAAAAUCCAAAUUAUUGUAAACCUAACAGUAUGCUUUCAGAAAACUAAUCUAUUUCAGGGCAAUGACAAACCUGCGGACUACAGCCCCAGUUGUUUAGACUAGGGAUGUCUACUGUAGCAGUUCUAUUCUGCCUGAUAGUGAGUGUAAGGUGUUGCACUUGUACUGUGUUAACUUUGGCUUUUCAAGGUCUCCCAUGUACAGGAGGCACAUACCUGUCAUCAUACUGACCUGACAUAUAUACCACUGAUGUACAGAUAGGAAGAGACAUACAUGGAGAUCAGUGGCUUUAGAGUCCAGGGCCCAGACACACUUAAUCGGCAUUGUAACACAAGUGCGUAGGUGUCGGGCGAAUGCGAAGGAGUAACCUGCGUGUCAGCUGUUAAUAGUUGUUUGUAGUGGGAGUUGAACUGGUAAUGUUAAAUGUGUGGUGGAUCCUAACCCUGUGGGGAGAGAACUUCCUGGGGUUCAUUGUCUAGCUGCAUAGCAACUAGACAACACAGGUAAAGUUUGCUGCAGUUCAUUUGCUCGAGCAAUGACCACUAAGGCUGGCAAGUUGCAAAAUGGCCACCCUGAAAGGGUGGGGCGGUCUGUUAGACUGUUUACAACAAGGCAAUGCUACAGGGUUAACAGAAGCCAUACUUGGGCAGUGCUUCACAGAUCUUCAUAACAGUAUAUUUCUAUUAAGUUGAACUAGCACUUUUUAAAAGCGAACAGUUCAGUAAGAGUACCAUUACAAUAGCCUAGCAAGACCUUGCAGCGGUAGAUACUUCUUAAGGACACGAUCACUGUACUUAGAACAAUGGCUUUUUUAGUCUUAUCCUGUUCCUUGUUGUAGCUUAUGUUACAGCACACAGUUGCUGCAUUUAAUUCAGAAACUGGGUAACAUAGUUAAAAGGAUUACUUGACCCAAGUGAAGGCUUAGCUAUCAUUCUGCCUUGUGGUCAGUGGCAUUGCUAGGCCGCAGGUCAUGCCUUGCAUUGAGCUGCAAAGCUCAUACUUCUUAAUAAUCGAAAUCAUUGUUAACCUAACAGUAUGCUAUCAGAAAACUAUUCUGUUUCAGUCCAAUAACAAACAUGCUCACUACAAACCCUAGCAUUUGGUGUAAGCCUGACUGGGUAUGGAUUCAUGUGUGGACUUGUUCCCUCAUUGUAGCACCAGUGUAAUGCUAAGUUGACCUGGAUUAAUUUGUGGGCCUGUGCUGUACCCAUAGGUCUUUGUAUAGGAGGAGAAGAAAACCCCUGGCCUUAAUAUGUUUGUAAGGAGUGCUUCGUUGAAUUUCCCAUACCUACUGAGCUCACCUACGAUGUUAGUAGGUCAACCCAUAAAUUUCCCAGGUGUGCACUUUGCGGUGUGUGCAGGUGCUAGGUAGCAACUAGUUGUCUAUUGUACUUGUUAUCUCUUUUGUCAUGUGACCGGCAAUUGAAACCAACAUAUAAAAGGUUUGCUUUGAUUGCGUGCCGUGGACAGGCCCAGUGCCUCCCUCCUCCAGCUGGUUGUACAGAAAGGUGCCUGACCACGUCGUGAUGAAAUCACAGAGCGAUGCUUCUUUCUUCCGCGGCAUUACCACUUGUUGGACUUGGAUUCAUUUCCGAUUCUGUUCCCUCACCCUACCACUUGGCAGCAGUCUAAGUGGUCCCGGAUUAGUUUGUGCACCUGUUCCCUCACCCUAGCACUCGGCGUAACCGAUGCUGGGCCCGGAUUCAUUUCUGACUCCGAUCCCUAAUCCUAGCACUUGGACUCACCCUAACUAAGUGGGUUGGCAUUUGUUUCAAAAUCUGUUUCCUAACCCUAACCGUUGCCCUAGCCAUCACGGGACUUUGAUUCAUUUGUGGACCCGUUCUGUCCCAGUAGCACUCGGCCUAACCGUCCCUGGCCCUGGAUUCCUUCCUGAAUCUAUUCCCUAACCCUACCAGUCGGACUAACCCUAACUGUCCCCGGAUUCUUUUUUGAAUCCGUUCUCCAAUCCUAGCACUUGGCGUAACCCUAAGUGGAGUUUGAUUCCUUUUUGAAUAUGUUUCCUAAUCCUAGCAACUGCUGUACCCCUAACGGGACCCAGAUUUGUUUGUGGACCCGUUUUGUCCCCACUACCACUCGGCGUAACCCUCACUGGGGCUGGAUUCAUUUCUGAAUGUGUUCCAUAACUGUAGCGCUUGGCGUAACCUUAACGGGGCCUGGAUUCAGCUUGGAGUGCAUUCCCUAAGCUUGGCACUCCAAAUAACAAUAAGUGGACUCAGAUUCGUUUUGGAAUCCGUUCCCUAACCCUAGCACUUUGCCUAACCCUAACCGACCCCGGAUUUGUUGUUGAAUCUGUUCGCUAACCGUACCAGUUGUCGUAACUCUAACUCGAUCUGGAUGUGUUUCUGAAUACCUUCCCUAACCGUACCACUUGCUGUAACUAUAAUUGGGCCUGGAUUUGUUGGCGGUUAUGUUCCCUAACCCUAGCACUUGGUGUAACCGUCGCUGGGGCGGGAUUCUUUUCUGAAUCUGUUCCCUAACCCUAGUCCUUGGCCUAACAGUUAAUGGACUCAGCUUCACUUGUGGACCCGUUCUGUCUCUGUAGCAUUUGGCCUAACCUUAACUGGUGCUGGAUUCAUUUGUGGACCUGUUCCCUAACUGUAGCACUUGGUGCAAGCCUAACAAACCCUGUAUUUGUUUAUUAGUCCGUUCCCUAACCCUAGCAGUCAGCGUAAGCGUAACUAGCCCCUGAUUCUUUUCUGCAUCUGUGUUGUACCCGUCGGAUUUAGUGUAACCUUAAGCGUACUUGGAUUCAUUUAUCAAUCUGUUCCCUAACCCUGGCCCUUGGCCUUUCCUUGGAUUCUGAAAUCUCUAAAGGGGUUAUUGGUGGAGGAUUGUCUGUGCAGCUCAGGAAAGCAGCUCAAGCUCACGUCUCCCGAGCUUCUGAAAUAAUCCGUAGGCUGCUUGCCUUGUUUGUACGUAUGAAAAUGGUUUAAGAUGACAGGGGUAACAAGACAGUCUACAGUAAAGCAUAUAGAAAGCUGGGGAAUAGUGUGGGUGUUUUGUGUGGUAUUGCUGACCAAGGGUGGGACGAAAUAUUUUUGAGCGCUGUGUUUUAGUGCCAAAGUUCCUGUGUGUGAAAGAAUAUGAGUCGCUGACCCGCUCUGAGAUGAAGGUUGGGUCUAGGCGCCCCACGGCUGUCUAGAAAGGCAGAGUUGGAAGCAAGGGGGCCCAGCUGGAACCUUGUGACGCAGUGGACAGUUUUAUCCUCUCCGCAUCCACGGUAAUUGUCCAGGUAAGUGGCGGUGUGGGUUCCCAACCUACUGGGAUUAACAGCCAUUUAGCUUAUGAUCUUGUGUCACAGUAUUGUCAAGCAUUACUAAAGUGUGUCAGGUCCGUUCAUUUUCAGGUCCAAGAAGAUUUACGUUAACCACCGGAUGUUUCCUGUCAGAAUCUCAUACCAGGUGAUUGGAUUUAUGUAAAGGUCCAUCAUUGGAAAAAUGUGCUUCAACUGACACGGAAUGGACUGUUCCAGGUGGUUUGGCCCACUAACACUGCUGUUUGUUGCCCAGGUCUCUCGACGUGGACUUGCACUGUAAAAAGGUAUCACCUCUAUUGGACCCUAGAGCAGUUGAAUUGCAACCUGGGCUAAGACCUUUCCCUGAGGCGAAGGACAAACAGCGGCAAGAUCUUAGUCUGGAAAAUGAGGAGUAUCAGGGUGCAAGUGCUAGUAACCUCUCCCCUGAACCCAGCACUGCAGCCUGGCCAGAUUCACCAGUUGGCGAUGGAAGAUAUUAUCUCUGAGCCCAAUGAAUAAUGUCCAGACUUUAUACGUGUCUAUCCCGGAUGGUUCUAGUGCUAUUGAGCAUGUGGCCCAAAGUAUAGAGAAAGAAGUGGCUACAGUUUAUGAAACUGAUGAAUGGAGUGUGUGCAGCUGUUUUGUCACAUUUGGGGCCAAAAGAUUUUGUAGUGCAAUCAUGGUCCUGCAGUUUAUUCUCUUUCUCCAACUGUUCUUCUUAUUGCUAUGCAAUUGGUACCUUAGUUGAUCCCAACAAAGGUGCAAAAAUUCUGUCUAAUGUGAUACUGGGUCAAUUGCAAGUAGUCUGUCAAUUGUUCUCAAGGGAGCGUUGACAGAUACUGUAGCUAAGACGAAGCGUGACUGUGCCUCGCAGGAUGCAUAAAUCAUAGUGUUUUGAUAUUGGUGCAUUUUGCAGUUGGUCAGCCAACAGAAGGUUACACAUUGUAUCAGCUGUAGUAUAAGUACAGAAACGGGGCAAUGUAGAAGAAAAGCCCAGCCCUUAAUAUGGAUCUAAGAAGUGCUGUGUGGAAUUUUCCAGAGCAACGGAGCAGAUCUAUGGCGUUAGUAGGUAACCCCAUAAUUUUCCUGUGUUGCCCGGUUCUAGGUGCCAGCUAGUUAUCUGGUCACCUUGACUGUGUCGUCUGUCAAGUGACAUGACAUUUAAACAUCUAAAAGGUUUGCAUUGAUUUUCUGUGCUGGGAUUGUUCACUGCCUCCCUGCUGCAGCAGCUUGUGAACAAAGGUGUCUGGCAAAUCUGUGACUAACUAACAGAGUGAUGCUUGUGUCUUUCACAGUGUUACCCCUCCCUGGACACGGAUUCAUUGCUGAAUUUGUUCGGUAAUCCUAGCACUCGGCCUAAUCCUAAGGGGGUCUGGAUUCAUUUCUGACUCGGUGGUGUCACCCUGCAGUUGGGAUACCUCUGCCAACGUUCCUGUUUGUGAAAGAAUAAUGAGUCGCUGACCUGGUCUGAGAUGAAGGUUGGAUCUAGCCGCGCCACGGCUGUCUAGAAAGGCAGAGUUGGAAGGAAGGGGGCCCAGGUGGAACCUUGUGACCCAGUGGACAGCUUGAUCCUCUCCGCAUCCAUGGUAAUUGUGCAGGUGCGAGAAGAUUUACGUUCACCACCAGAUGUUUCCUGUCAAUGUCAUACCAGGUGAUUGGAUUUAUGUAAAGGUCCAUCAUUGGAAAAAUGUGCUUCAACUGACAUGGAAUGGACUGUUGCAGGUGCUCUGGACCAGUAACACUGCCGUUUGUUGCCAAGGUCUCUAGACAUGGACCUGCACUGGAAAAAGGUAUCACCUCUAUUGGACCCUGAAACAGUUGCAUUGCUACCUGGGCUAAGACCUUUCCCUGAGGCCAAGGACACAGAGCAUCAAGAUCUUAGUCUGGAAAAUGAGGAGUAUCAGGGUGCAAGUGCUAGUAACCUCUCCCCUGAACCCAGCACUGCAGCCUGGCCAGAUUUACCAGUUGGCGAUCGAAGAUAUUAUCUCUUAGCCCAACGAAUAAUAUCCAGACUUUAUACGUGUAUAUCCCAGAUGGUUGUAGCGCUAUUGAGCAUGUGGCUGAAAGUAUAGAGAAAGAAGUUGCUAAAGUUUAUGAAACUGAUGAAUGGAGUGUGUGCAGCUGUUUUGUCACAUUUGGGGCCAAAGGAUUUUGUAGUGCAAUCAUGGUCCUCGAGUUUAUUCUCUCUCUACAACUGUUCCUCUUUAUUGCUAUGGAAUUGGUACCUUAGUAGAUCCCAACAAAGGUGCAAAAAUUCUGUCUAAUGUGAUACUGGGUCAACUGCAAGUAGUCUGUCAAUUGUUGUCAAGGGAGCAUUGACAGAUACUGUAGCUAAGAACAAGUGUGACUGUGCCUCGCAGGAUGCAUAAAUCAUAAUGUUCUGAUAUGGGUGCAUUUUGCAGUUUGUCAGCCGAGAAAAGGUUACAAAUUGUAUCAGUUGUAUUAUAAGUACAGAAACGGGGCAAUGUAGAAGAAAAGCCCAGCCCUUAAUAUGGUUCAAAGAAGUGCUGUGUGGAAUUUUCCAUAGCAACGGAGCAGAUCUAUGGCGUUAGUAGGUAACCCCAUAAUUUUCCUGUGUUUCCCGGUUCUAGGUGCCAGCUAGUUAUCUGGUCACCUUGACUGUGUCGUCUGUCAAGUGACAUGACAUUUAAACAUCUAAAAGGUUUGCAUUGA